rnacentral:rRNA from 1 species
UACAGAGGGUGCGAGCGUUAAUCGGAAUUACUGGGCGUAAAGGGCGCGUAGGCGGCCUACUAAGUCAGACGUGAAAUCCCCCGGCUUAACCUGGGAACUGCGUCUGAUACUGGAAGGCUUUGAGUAUGGGGAGAGGGAUGUAGAAUUCCAGGUGUAGCGGUGAAAUGCGUAGAUAUCUGGAGGAAUACCGGUGGCGAAGGCGGCAUCCUGGACCAUAACUGACGCUGAGGCGGCGAAAAGCUAGGGGAGCAAACGGG